CUAAGAAGAGCAAACUCGCGAGGCUAUCUUUUGGAUAGUAUUCCUAGGAUAUAUUUGGGGGUUUUUUGAAACUGAAAAUGAGAAGAAUUUUGAAUGGAUGGUUGUGUCAGCCUUUUCGAAAAGAUGGUUCAUGAGGAUGGAGAGGACCAGCAACCAUAACAGCUUCGAAGAAAAGAAGACGAAGGAAGAAAGGAUUCCAUUCUGAAGCCAAGGAAAAUGGAAAUUAGCCAGAGAGUGAUUGACAUAAAAAGAGGAAACAAAAUGGAGCACCUGCGAAUUGGGAUGCAAAUAUUUUGGAGGAGAGCAGAAAAUAGGAACACCAGAUUUUGGAGCGGGUACACAAAUGGCCAGAGAAAGUCCCGUUUGAUAAGUGAUGGAAAUGACAUGAUUGAAUCAGAAAGAGUGAUGCGGAGAUGGAACAGUGCUUAGGCAGAAUUUACCAGUGCGAUGAAGAUCAGCAUUUCUGCAGGCCAGAUCCAUACUGAUAAUCUACAUGUUAGGAACCUGGAAGCUGCCGUCAUUAAAGUGGCUGAGAGUGGCUGUUGGAUUCCUGAAUGCAAAGCAGUUCGUGAGAAAAUAGCUGUCACAAUUACAUGCCCUCGUCACCUCAAGACUGGAUUACUGUAAUGCGCUCUACAUGGGGCUGCCCCUGAAGAGUGUUCGAA